GUGGGGAAUAUUCCGCAAUGGACGAAAGUCUGACGGAGCAACGCUGCGUGAGUGAUGAAGGUUUUCGGACUGUAAAGCUCUGUUGUUUAGGACGAAAGUGCCUGUUGCAAAUAGUUACAGGUAUUGACGGUACUGAACGAGGAAGCCACGGCUAACUACGUGCCAGCAGCCGCGGUAAUACGUAGGUGGCAAGCGUUGUCCGGAAUUAUUGGGCGUAAAGAGCAUGUAGGCGGGAAUCUAAGUCUGUUGUGAAAAUGCGGGGCUCAACCCCGUAGUGCGAUGGAAACUGGGUUUCUUGAGUGCAGGAGAGGAAAGGGGAAUUCCCAGUGUAGCGGUGAAAUGCGUAGAUAUUGGGAGGAACACCAGUGGCGAAGGCGCCUUUCUGGACUGUGUCUGACGCUGAGAUGCGAAAGCCAGGGUAGCGAACGGGAUUAGAAACCCCUGUAGUCC
rnacentral:rRNA from 1 species